rnacentral:rRNA from 1 species
UACGUAGGGUGCGAGCGUUAAUCGGAAUUACUGGGCGUAAAGGGUGCGUAGGCGGAUGUAUAAGUUAGAUGUGAAAUACCUGAGCUUAACUUGGGAGGUGCAUUUAAGACUGUAUAUCUAGAGUAUGUUAGAGGGGGGUAGAAUUCCAAGUGUAGCAGUGAAAUGCGUAGAGAUUUGGAGGAAUACCGAUGGCGAAGGCAGCCCCCUGGGAUGAUACUGACGCUGAGGCACGAAAGCGUGGGUAGCAAACAGG